AAUGUGCAUGCAGCAGGAGUGGCGAUAAAAAAUUGAUCAGUCUCAUUUACAAAUGCAGGUUACUAAGUUGGAAGUCCUGCCACCCAACAGGCUGCAAGGUUACUAAGUUGGAAGUCCUGCUCGAAGAAACAAUCUUUUCGGCAAUCAGAAGACAUUAGGUCAAGGACGAUCUUGAUGGACAUGCUGAAGAAACAUGCCUGCCUCUCCACCAGGAGAACCUAUUGAUAUCUUCAGUUCGAAUGCAGGGAGGCGAUUAGCAACACACCCACCAAGGCCGAAGUGGUGCUGACAUUCCCCUCAUCUGCAUGUCAUAUACAUAGUUCCGUUGGAGAAGUCUCAGUGCAGUUGUUAGUCGAGCAAGCAACCAUUGGAUAGCUUUUUUGCCAUCUAUGUUUUAUUACCAUUGAUUUGUAGAGAUGCUUAAUAUAGCGUUUUACAAUCUGUUCACCGGGACGGUGAGCCAAUACGAGCCUCAAAAUACUGCUAUAUUUUCCGAUUGUAUAUAAGGUUUUCUACUUUCUUCGUGAUUUUGCAAUAACGGUAUCUGAGGAAUAAGCAUCGGCUAACUCUAUGCCAGCAGCUGCGAUAUGACAGAGGAUGUUAUCUGGAAUAAUUGAGCGUAAAGCAUCUAUAGGUGGCUUUUCAAGUCUGCCGUCAAAUCCCAUGUG